CUGGCUGAAAGUUGACUUUAGGAAUUACUUACCAGUAUUUAUUACUGAGCUUAUUCCUGGGAAGGUCUGAGAUAAGGCUCCUGAUUUUAAUUUAAAAUCGGUAUCCUCUAGGAGGGGUUUUCUCGUAAUGAGAUUGGUUCCGUACCUGAAGAUAUCCUAACGGUUGCUUUAAACAAGAAGUUUCUGUCGGAAAUGGAUUUAUAGCUUCUGUUAGUUUGGAAUCCGGCGCCGGUGCCAGCUAGCUUGAGUUCGAUAGUCAAUGAGAACAUUUAUUGUUCAAAACUCAAUUCAGACUACUCUUCGACCAG
rfam:Strongyloides papillosus strain LIN genome assembly, scaffold: SPAL_contig0000001